rnacentral:rRNA from 1 species
UGGGGAAUCUUGCGCAAUGGGCGAAAGCCUGACGCAGCGACGCCGCGUGGGGGAUGAAGGUUUUCGGAUCGUAAACCCCUGUUGCCUGGGACGAACUUCCUGAUUCGUCAGGCUUGACGGUACCGGGUGAGGAAGCCCCGGCUAACUCUGUGCCAGCAGCCGCGGUAAUACAGAGGGUGCGAGCGUUGUCCGGAAUCACUGGGCGUAAAGGGCGCGUAGGUGGCGGGCCAAGUCUGUGGUGAAAGCUCGAUGCUCAACAUCGAGUCGGCCACGGAGACUGGUUUGCUGGAGCACUGUAGGGGCAGGCGGAAUUCCGGGUGUAGCGGUGGAAUGCGUAGAGAUCCGGAAGAACACCGGUGGCGAAGGCGGCCUGCUGGGCAGUGGCUGACGCUGAGGCGCGACAGCGUGGGGAGCAAA